rnacentral:rRNA from 1 species
UACGGAGGGUGCAAGCGGUAUCCGGAAUCACUGGGCGUAAAGGGCGAGUAGGCUGUGUGGUGUGUCUGAUGUGAAAGACCUAGGCUUAACCUAGGAAAUGCAUUGGAUCCUACCAUGCUAGAGUGCGAUAGAGGGUGGCAGAAUUCCAAGUGUAGAGGUGAAAUUCGUAGAUACUUGGAGGAAUACCUGAGGCGAAGGCGGCCACCUGGAUCGUAACUGACGCUGAGGCGCGAAAGCGUGGGUAGCAAACAGG